UACGUAGGGCGCAAGCGUUGUCCGGAAUUAUUGGGCGUAAAGAGCUCGUAGGCGGUCUGUUACGUCCGCUGUGAAAACCCAGGGCUUAACCCUGGGCUUGCAGUGGAUACGGGUAGACUAGAGGCAGGUAGGGGAGAAUGGAAUUCCCGGUGUAGCGGUGAAAUGCGCAGAUAUCAGGAAGAACACCCGUGGCUAAGGCGGCUCUCUAGUACGGUACUGACGCUGAGACGCGAAAGCGUGGGGAGCGAACAGGAUUAGAUAC
rnacentral:rRNA from 1 species